UGGGGGAUAUUGCACAAUGGGCGAAAGCCUGAUGCAGCGACGCCGCGUGGGGGAUGAAGGCCUUCGGGUUGUAAACUUCUUUUGCUCUGAACAAGGCAUGCUUUUGGGGUGUGUUGAGUGUAGGGGUUGAUUAGCGCCGGCUAACUACGUGCCAGCAGCCGCGGUAAUACGUAGGGCGCGAGCGUUGUCCGGAAUUAUUGGGCGUAAAGGGCUUGUAGGUGGCUGGUUGCGUCUGUCGUGAAAGCUCAUGGCUUAACUGUGGGUUUGCGGUGGGUACGGGCUGGCUUGAGUGCAGUAGGGGAGGCUGGAAUUCCUGGUGUGGCGGUGGAAUGCGCAGAUAUCAGGAGGAAUACCGGUGGCGAAGGCGGGUCUCUGGGCUGUUACUGACGCUGAGGAGCGAAAGCGUGGGGAGCGAACAGG
rnacentral:rRNA from 1 species